rnacentral:rRNA from 1 species
CAAUACACAGUGGCGGACGGGUGAGUAAUUUAUCGCUAAUGUGCCCCGGAACCAGGGAUAGCCAUCCGAAAGGGUGGGUAAUACCUGAUGAUAUAACUUUGUCGCAUGGCAGAGUUCUCAAAGGAGCAAUCCGGUCUGGGAGCAGGCGAUAUCGUAUCAGCUAGUUGGUGAGGUAACGGCUCACCAAGGCGAUGACGCGUAGCUGGUCUGAGAGGACGGCCAGCCACAUCGGGACUGAGACACUGCCCGGACUCCUACGGGGGGCUGCAGUAACGAAUCUUCCGCAAUGCACGAAAGUGUGACGGAGCGACGCCGCGUGGAGGAGAAGUCCUUCGGGAUGUAAACUCCUGUCAGGGGAAAGAAAGUUCUGAUCUACCCCAGAGGAAGAGGCGGCUAACUCUGUGCCAGCAGCCGCGGUAAUACAGAGGCCUCGAGCGUUAGGCGGAAUCACUGGGCUUAAAGCGUGUGUAGGUGGAUGCCUAAGUACCUUGUGAAAUCCCAUGGCUUAACCAUGGAAUGGCUGGGUAUACUGGGCGUCUUGAGCCACUCAGGGGCUACCGGAACAAACGGUGGAGCGGUGAAAUGCGUAGAUAUCGUUUGGAACACCAAUGGUGAAAACAGGUAGCUGGGGGUGUGCUGACACUGAGACACGAAAGCCAGGGGAGCGAACGGGAUUAGAUACCCCGGUAGUCCUGGCCCUAAACGAUGUCCACUAGAUUAUGGCGGCUCUGACGCCGUCAUGGUCGAAGCAAAAGUGCUAAGUGGACCGCCUGGGAAGUACGGUCGCAAGGCCAAAACUCAAAGGAAUUGAC